UUGUAAACUAAUCCAAGUGCUUUCAUUC
rnacentral:piRNA from 1 species